rnacentral:rRNA from 1 species
AUUGAACGCUGGCGGCAGGCCUAACACAUGCAAGUCGAACGGUAACAGGAAGCAGCUUGCUGCUUCGCUGACGAGUGGCGGACGGGUGAGUAAUGUCUGGGAAGCUGCCUGAUGGAGGGGGAUAACUACUGGAAACGGUAGCUAAUACCGCAUAAUGUCGCAAGACCAAAGAGGGGGACCUUCGGGCCUCUUGCCAUCGGAUGUGCCCAGAUGGGAUUAGCUUGUUGGUGGGGUAACGGCUCACCAAGGCGACGAUCCCUAGCUGGUCUGAGAGGAUGACCAGCCACACUGGGACUGAGACACGGUCCAGACUCCUACGGGAGGCAGCAGUGGGGAAUAUUGCACAAUGGGCGCAAGCCUGAUGCAGCCAUGCCGCGUGUAUGAAGAAGGCCUUCGGGUUGUAAAGUACUUUCAGCGGGGAGGAAGGGAGUAAAGUUAAUACCUUUGCUCAUUGACGUUACCCGCAGAAGAAGCACCGGCUAAUUCCGUG